UUCUUCCGGUAGCCCUUCCUCCGCUUCAUCUUGAAGACGAUCACCUUCUUUGCUUUGCCGUGUCCCACCACGCUGGCCUCGACCGCUACGUUCUCGACGUGGGGCGUUCCGAUGCGACUGCCGCCCUCUUCCGAGACCAACAGCACCCGAUCCAGCGUGACCUUUUCGCCAGCCUCCGCGUCCAUUCGGGCGACACGAAUCUUGUCUCCCUGCUGAACCCGGAACUGACCGCCGCUAACCUCUACGACUGCAUACAUUUCUUACCAGCCUCCGGUAGACUCUCCAGUGCCACGGACCGCCCCCAAAUGAUUCGGGCGGAAAAAUUUAAGAUUACCACACGCGGCCAGAUCUGUCAAGUUUUAAAUCGGUCU
rnacentral:rRNA from 1 species